GAAGCGGCAACAGCUCAAAUUUGAAAUCUGGCCCUUUCAGGGUCCGAGUUGUAAUUUGUAGAGGAUGUUUCGGGUGUGGCUCCGGUCUAAGUUCCUUGGAACAGGACGUCAUAGAGGGUGAGAAUCCCGUAUGUGACUGGUAGCCUAUGCCCAUGUGAAACUCCUUCGACGAGUCGAGUUGUUUGGGAAUGCAGCUCAAAAUGGGUGGUAAAUUUCAUCUAAAGCUAAAUAUUGGCCAGAGACCGAUAGCGCACAAGUAGAGUGAUCGAAAGAUGAAAAGCACUUUGGAAAGAGAGUUAAACAGUACGUGAAAUUGUUGAAAGGGAAGCGCUUGCAACCAGACUUGCAUGUAGCUGAUCAACCGGUGUUCUCACCGGUGCACUCAGUUGCGUUCAGGCCAGCAUCGGUUUCGACGGUUGGAUAAAGGCCUUGGGAAUGUAGCUCCUCUCGGGGAGUGUUAUAGCCCAGGGUGCAAUGCAGCCUGUUGGGACCGAGGACCGCGCUUCGGCUAGGAUGCUGGCGUAAUGGUUGUAAGCGACCCGUCUUGAAACACGGACCAAGGAGUCUAACAUCUAUGCGAGUGUUUGGGUGUCAAACCCAUACGCGUAAUGAAAGUGAACGGAGGUGAGAACCCUUAAGGGUGCAUCAUCGACCGAUCCUGAUGUCUUCGGAUGGAUUUGAGUAAGAGCAUAGCUGUUGGGACCCGAAAGAUGGUGAACUAUGCCUGAAUAGGGUGAAGCCAGA
rnacentral:rRNA from 1 species